CAGAAGCGAGGGAGCAGAGAAGAGAAACCGCUCCUUCGUUUUUCCUUUUUAAGAGGGAGAUGAGAGAAAGAGAAGAAGAGAAGCAGAGAAAUCUCCUUGUUUCUCUUUCUAGGGGCUGAAUUGUAACUUUCCUCGGAAUCUUGGGGGAAAUGGCGAAGUCCGGUUCGUCGGAGAGGGUCGAUCCAUCGUCAGUCGCGAAGGCAACGGAGCUCAAGAGAGAGCUCCAACGGCUCGUGAAAUCAAUCGCGGAAGAAGAAGAUGUUCAGAUCGAGGCCUUCGAUCAAGCGGCCCAUGUCCUAUCGGCUUUGAAGGAUUUAAAGUUCAGUCGAUCUCAGCCGUCGCUGCCGAAAUUCCAUCGAUCUCAGCGAUCCCUGUCGAAGAAUUCCGAUUCGGAUUCCGUUCCCGAGCAUUUCCGUUGCCCGAUCUCGACGCAGAUCAUGAAAGAUCCUGUCAUUUUAUCCUCCGGACUGACAUACGACCGACCAUACGUCCAGUCAUGGCUCAGCCAGGGUUACCGGACAUGCCCGCUCACCCGAGAGGUGCUUUCACAUUCGCUCGUUACACCCAAUUUAUUGGUUCAGAACAUGAUCUCGGAGUGGUGCAAGAACCAGGGGAUUGAGCUGGGGGAUCGAACUGCACCUGUCCAUAAGGCCCACCGUGAUGAAGCGAUCACACCAGAGCAGCGGGCCCAGGUCAAUACAUUGCUCUGCAAGAUCUCUUCCGAGGACCUGCCUGAACAGAAAAUGGCGAUCAAAGAGCUCCGAAUGCUGACUAAGCGGUCACCCUCUGUUCGUGCCCAGCUCGGGGAGGACCCAGAAGUGAUCCCUCUAUUGACAUCACUGCUGAAGAUGGCAAAACGAGGUAGCAGUGUACAAGAAGAUGUCGUGGCCACGAUCUUGAAUUUUUCUAUCCUUGAUGACAACAACAAGAAGAUUGUGGGGGAUAACCCCGAAACCAUCUCUUUGCUCAUUGCAGCUGUGCGGAUUGGAAGCAUGGAGUGUAGGGGCACUGCAGCCGCAACCCUUUUCACAUUAUCCGCCCUUGAUUCAAACAAGGCCAAGAUAUGUGAAUGCGACUUGAAUGCAUUGGAGGCCCUUGCAUGCCUUUUAGAGGAAGGCAAUGCAAUCGCUAAGAAGGAUGCUGCCUCGGCAAUCUUCAACCUAUGUGCAAUGCAAAGUAACAGAUCCAGGGCUGUUAAAUGUGGCGUGGUGAGGGUAGUUCUGAAGACACUCAAGGACGGAUAUCUUGUGGACGAGAUGCUGGCGAUCCUUGCCAUGCUGUCAAGCAGUCAGGAGGCUGCUGAUGCGAUGUGCAGGCACUUUGGGGUGCCCCACUUGCUGCGUAUACUCAGGGAGAGCACCUCUCCUGGCAGCCGGGAGAAUGUGGCCGCCAUCCUCUUUUCAAUCUGUAUGAACGACCGGGUCUGGUUGCGAGACCUCAGGGAAGAAGAGGAAACCAAUGGCACAAUCUCGGAGCUCACACGAAACGGAACCCCACGGGCUCGGAGAAAGGCCACUGCCAUCAUUGAGAGAAUGAAGAGGACCACGACCCACACCACGUGAAUUCUCGUACAUAUGAUCCAAAGAACCUUGUACAUACCUGUUUUCCGGCAUAUAUGCACAUCUGUCCGAUUCAAUGCAGUGUAAAUUCACCCCAAAUGCUAAGAGAUGGUUGAGCUGAAGUUGUGGGACCAAUCUGAAUUUGGUUGCCAGCAAACUGGCCAUUGUUAUGCAAGACGAUCCCAGGUGUGUUAUGCACCCACUAAAAAUUUAGCAUAGCUGUAUGAUAUAACCUUUAGCUGGACUUGAUCAAACGCAUUCAAAUAGGAGAACUCAGUGAUGGUGGAGGGCGGGUGUUGGAUGGAUUGGGUACUGAUCUUAUCAGCCCAAUGUCGAUCUGAUUCUUGUAAGAUUUGCCCAUGAUCGCGAAGCAGGUGGUUCAGCUGAAGUUAUGGAAGUGGAACCAAUCUAAUGGGCCAUUGUUAUGCGAAACGAGCUGGUGUGACGCACCCUUGAGGAAAUUUAGCCGUGCUGUAUGAUAUGACCCUGGCUGGACAUGAUCAAACAUGUGGUGGUGGAGGUGGGCUGACUGGCUCUUAUGGCAUGGAUGGAUUGGCUCCCCAUUUUAUCACUCUCCAAUGUUGAUCUGAUUGUUAUAAGAUUUGCCUACUGUAAGGUUUUUCGGUUUGUAGAAUAUGAUCCGCGACAGUUCUUCUGUUUCGGGGAUGUGAAGAUGUGGAAAAGCAGGGCCGGAGCCUACUCAUUGCAGUUUCUCCAUUAUCACUAUCACCCCAAUUCGCUAAGCAGAUGGUUGAGCUGAAGUUGUGGGACCAAUCUGAAUUCUAUACCCGAUUGCCGGCAAAUGGGCCCUUGCAAUGCGAAACGAUCUGGCAUGAUACACCCAUAAUGAAAUUCAGCAUUGCUUUGUGAUAAACAGUGGCUGGAGACAAUGAUCAAAGUUCUUCAGGAAGAAGAAAGCGAAAUCAUGAUGUUGGAGGUGGGGGCUGUCUAGCUUGCAUGGUGUUGGUUUGAGUUGGUCCUGAUUUCAUGGCUGUUUAACCUUAUUUGUGAUUGUUAAAUGAGGUUUCUCUCA